AUGGAUCUGCUCCCCGAGGACGUGAUCGGAGAGGUGCUGCGCCGCCUCCCCGGGCGGAGCCUCGCGGCCUCCCGUGGCGUGUGCAGGGCGUGGCGCGCCGUCGUCGACGGUCUCAACCUGCUCCUGCCGCACAUGCUGCCGCACUCCGUCCGCGGCAUCUUCACCAACUAUUCGGGCUGCUCACGCCCGCGCUUC
rnacentral:rRNA from 1 species